rnacentral:lncRNA from 1 species
AGUUAAUUCUGUUGAAUGUCAAAUACUAUGAAAACCAGAAUUGUUUCCAUGCAGCAUCAUUCCACUCCUCUUUGUACAGAUAUAUUUUCAGGUAGUCUUCAAAUAGUUUUUCAGCAAGUUGGUUUUUCUUAUUCCUCAUGUGUCAUCUUUUUUCAAGAUGUUUAUUAAUGCUGUACACCCUGAGCUUGAACAGAAAGAGUUAAACAUCUUGUGUUUUUCAACUUCUUCCACUUAAACAAGAAGCAAAGUAAUGUUUUUCAGAUUUUUAAGGUCAUGCUUUCUAAAAACUUCUGUUUCAAAGGUUGCUGGCACACAGCUGUAUGAUUUGAGUCUUCAAGGAUAUAUUGCUGUAGAAUCUCUUUGGAAGGAUAAUCCUAAGAAGAAGAAAUCUGGGGAAAAAAGUGAUAAGGGUGAUGCAGUUGGUGACAAGCCCCUGGAAGUCCAUGCUGCUUCAAAUAAAGAGCGAGCCCAGAAGUAAAACGCUACAUCACCUGGCAUCAGACAGGUGAAGAAAAAAAAUAUAGAUAUAAGCAACAAUUUCCCAAGAAAAAGAUGAAAACCCAUCUGAAUCCAUUUUGAAUGUGACUAAUCUGCCUUCUGCCUCGGGGCAGUCUGACUGUGUGCUGCUCGGGCUUCUGGUAUGGAUUCUGUGAAAGGACAUUACGUGGUUUGGGUCAGUCUGGAGACCUCGUCCUCCGUUCUGCAGUGGGACUGAAGUCUGCCCAUGCUUGUCCCAUUGCAGGAUCAACAUUGCAAGUAGCAAGUCUCUAAAUCCCUGAGUCUCUUAUUAUUUAUAUAUAAAAUAAAAUUCCAGAUACACAAAAUGGUCCA